GACCAGACUCCUACGGGAGGCAGCAGUGAGGAAUAUUGGUCAAUGGCCGGGAGGCUGAACCAGCCAAGUCGCGUGAGGGAAGACGGCCCUACGGGUUGUAAACCUCUUUUGUCAGGGAGCAAGAGGCGGGUCGGGACCUGCUGUGAGAGUACCUGAAGAAAAAGCAUCGGCUAACUCCGUGCCAGCAGCCGCGGGAAUACGUAGGGGGCGAGCGUUAUCCGGAUUCACUGGGUGUAAAGGGAGCGUAGACGGCCAAGCAAGCCAGGGGUGAAAGCCCGGGGCCCAACCCCGGGACUGCCCUUGGAACUGCUUGGCUGGAGUGCGGGAGGGGCAGGCGGAAUUCCUGGUGUAGCGGUGAAAUGCGUAGAUAUCAGGAGGAACACCGGCGGCGAAGGCGGCCUGCUGGACCGCGACUGACGUUGAGGCUCGAAAGCGUGGGGAGCGAACAGGAUUAGAUACCCCGGUACUC
rnacentral:rRNA from 1 species